ACGUGAUCUGAGUUCAGACCGGAGUAAUCCAGGUCAGUUUCUAUCUAUAAAGAGCUUUUUCUAGUACGAAAGGACCGAAAAAACAUGGCCCAUGCAUAAUACAAGCCAUACUUGAUAAUUUAUGAUUUAAACUCAAUAAAUAUUCAAUCUCCGACAGAACUCUAAACAAGAGUA
rnacentral:rRNA from 1 species